rnacentral:rRNA from 1 species
UACGAAGGGGGCUAGCGUUGCUCGGAAUCACUGGGCGUAAAGGGCGCGUAGGCGGCCAUUCAAGUCGGAGGUGAAAGCCCAGGGCUCAACCCUGGAAUUGCCUUCGAUACUGUUUGGCUGGAGACCGGAAGAGGUAAGUGGAACUGCGAGUGUAGAGGUGAAAUUCGUAGAUAUUCGCAAGAACACCAGUGGCGAAGGCGGCUUACUGGUCCGGUUCUGACGCUGAGGCGCGAAAGCGUGGGGAGCAAACAGG